AAUCUCUAUCUUUAUCACUCAUUCACUCUCCUUCUCUCUCUCUCUCUCUCUCUCUCUCUCUCUCUCUCUCUUCUCCAGAACCCCAUUUGUUUAUUUGAGUGUGGAAGAGCGAAAGAAAACGACGCAACAACACGCUGCAAUGUUGAUAGUUGAAAUUCUAUUUCUUUUACGAGACAUAGUCAUCGCUUGCGUGGCAGCGGUGUGGAAUUUCCUUAUCACACCCAAGUAUAAAGAUGUAAAAGAUGAAAUUGUCCUGAUCACUGGCUCUGCUAAUGGCAUCGGACGGGGCCUUGCCCUCGCUUUUGCUCGACGUGGUUGUAUCCUGGUCUUGUGGGACAUUGAUGAAGCAGAAAACGAGAAGACAGCCCAAUUGGUUACGGAGGCAGGGGCUAAGGCUUAUCCGUACUACUGUGACUUAAGUAAAAGGAAAGAAAUCUAUAGAAUUGGUAAGAAAGUACAGAAGGAAGUUGGAGAUGUUACUAUUUUAGUCAACAAUGCCGGUGUUGUGAUUGGGAAAAGUUUUUUGGAAUGUCCAGAUGAAGAAAUUGAAAAUUCCUUUCAAGUAAAUACGCUUGCUUACUUUUGGACUAUAAAAGUAUUUCUACCAAAAAUGAUUGAGAAAAACUAUGGGCAUAUUGUGAACAUGUCAAGUUCUUUGGGCCUAACAGGAAUAAAUAAGUUAACUGAUUAUUGCUCCACAAAAUUUGCUGUGGUUGGCUUCAACGAAGUCUUAAGCUAUGAACUUCAACAUGACCAGUAUGAUGGCAUUAAGACUACCCUGAUAUGCCCACAGUGUGUCAAAACACGUAUGUUUGAAGGUUGUAAAUUAAGAUUUCCUCCUAUCUGCCCAUUUAUGGAAUUGGAUUAUGUUGUGAAUAAGUCAAUGCAGGCCAUUCUGACUAACCAGUACAUACUCUGUUUACCAAGACUUGUAUACUUUCAAGCUGUAUUUAAAGCGUAAGUGGCUCUAAACAAAGAAGUACCAAUCACAGUUUGUUUAAUGGUGCUAAGAGUUCAUGCAUUCUUGGAAUAUACAUUUGAUAAUAACUUGCAAGACCUAGAAAAGCUUGUAAGGUCGUUAUAUUAGUUGGAGGAGGCAUAUCUUUAAUUGCGUCUGCCCUCGAUGGGUCCGGUCAUCAUCCAUUCCUGUCGAUAAUUUGUCCUAAAUACUUAAUUUCAGAAUUUUACCAACUGAAGCCUGGAUUGCCUCUUGUAGGUUUUUUGGUACCAUGACUUUUAUGGAUAGUUUUGUUGGUAAUAAAAAAGACUGAACUGGACUAGGACUAGGAAUUAUUUAUUAAUUUAACUUUAGAUUGGUUUGAAGCCUGAACUUAACUAAUCAAAAUCUUUCUUGUAUUACCUCUGACAUACUUUCCAUCAAACAUUAUUUCUUGUUUUCUCAGAUCAUGCUUAAACAUUUCUCUCUAUAUAUUCCUUUGACAAUAUUUCUGCCCCAGCUACAACAAAAUCCUGAUCUACUUCUCAAUAAUUACUUGUCACUUUCUAGGAGCUAGAGAAAAGACACUAAUCUUUCAUUUAAGUUUGUACUCAGUAUCUUUAUAUUAAACUCAUUUCUCUCUCA